UUACCUACCUGGCCGGGGAAAUACUAUGAUCACAAAGUUAGUUUUCCCAGGCAAUGGUUAUCCAUUGCACUCUAGAUGUGAUCACUCUUUAAUUUCUGCAAACGUGGGAAACUUGACAGCAAAAUUUGUGGUAGGGGAAGACUGUGAUCACACUCUCCUCUA
ensembl:snRNA LOC120097302 U1 spliceosomal RNA